rnacentral:rRNA from 1 species
UGCAGUCGAGCGGAGCGAGGGUGCUUGCACCUUACCUUAGCGGCGGACGGGUGAGUAAUGCUUAGGAAUCUGCCUAUUAUUGGGGGACAACAUUCCGAAAGGAAUGCUAAUACCGCAUACGUCCUACGGGAGAAACCAGGGGAUCUUCGGACCUUGCGCUAAUAGAUGAGCCUAAGUCGGAUUACCUAGUUGGUGGGGUAAAGGCCUACCAAGGCGACGAUCUGUAGCGGGUCUGACAGGAUGAUCCGCCACACUGGGACUGACACACGGCCCAUACUCCUACGGGAGGCAUCAGUGGGGAAUAUUGGACAAUGGGGGGAACCCUGAGCCAGCCAUGCCGCGUGUGUGAAGAAGGCCUUUUGGUUGUAAAGCACUUUAAGCGAGGAUGAGGCGCUCUAGGAUAAUACCCUAGAUGCGUGGACGUUACUCCCAGAAUAAGCCCCGGCUAACUCUGUGCCAUCACUCGCGGUAAUACAGAGGGUGCGAGCGUUAAUCGGAUUUACUGGGCGUAAAGCGCGCGUAGGUGGCUAAUUAAGUCGAAUGUGAAAUCCCCGAGCUUAACUUGGGAAUUGCAUUCUAUACUGGCUAUCUAGAGUAUGGGACAGGAUGGUAGAAUUCCAGGUGUAACGUCGAAAUGCGUAGAGAUCUGGAGGAAUACCGAUGAGCGAAGGCAGCCAUCUGGCCUAAUACUGAGACUGAUGUGCGAAAGUGAUGGGGCGAAAACAUGGAUUAUAUACCCUG